rnacentral:rRNA from 1 species
AGGACGAACGCUGGCGGCGUGCUUAACACAUGCAAGUCGAACGGUGAAGCGGAGCUUGCUCUGCGGAUCAGUGGCGAACGGGUGAGUAACACGUGAGCAACCUACCCUUGACUCUGGGAUAACAGUUGGAAACAGCUGCUAAUACCGGAUAUGACCCUGGUGGACAUCCACUGGGGUGGAAAGCUCCGACGGUCAAGGAUGGGCUCGCGGCCUAUCAGCUUGUUGGUGAGGUAACGGCUCACCAAGGCGUCGACGGGUAGCCGGCCUGAGAGGGCGACCGGCCACACUGGGACUGAGAUACGGCCCAGACUCCUACGGGAGGCAGCAGUGGGGAAUAUUGCACAAUGGGCGAAAGCCUGAUGCCAGCAACGCCGCGUGCGGGAUGACGGCCUUCGGGUUGUAAACCGCUUUCAGCAGGGACGAAGGGUUUCUGACGGUACCUGCAGAAGAAGCACCGGCUAACUACGUGCCAGCCGCUGC